rnacentral:rRNA from 1 species
GGACCCGCACAAGCGGUGGAGCAUGUGGUUUAAUUCGAUGCAACGCGAAAAACCUUACCUACACUUGACAUACUUCGAAUUUUCUAGAGAUAGAUUAGUGCCUUCGGGAGCGAAGAUACAGGUGCUGCAUGGCUGUCGUCAGCUCGUGUCGUGAGAUGUUGGGUUAAGUCCUAUAACGAGCGCAACCCUUACCCUUAUUUGCCAGCGGUUAGGCCGGGAACUAUAAGGGAACUGCCGGUAAUAAGCCGGAGGAAGGUGGGGACGACGUCAAGUCAUCAUGGCCCUUACGUGUAGGGCUACACACGUGCUACAAUGGGAGAUACAGACGGUUGCUAAAGCGCGAGCUGGAGCCAAUCCCAAAAAGUGCGUCGUAGUCCGGAUCGGAGUCUGCAACUCGACUCCGUGAAGUCGGAAUCGCUAGUAAUCG